UAUUUAUUUUAGUGAUAAUUUUUUAUUUCGAUUUAAAAUUCAAAAUAAAAGAUAUACGCUAUAUAUAAAUUAAAUAUAUAUUUAAAAAAAAGGUAAUAAAAUAAUAUAAUGUAACUAAAAAUGAGCAUGAGGAGGUGCAUCUAGGUUAUGGCAUCGUGGAUUGAUAUACUAUGAGACCUAUAAAUUUCGAUAAUGACUGCUACUAACGCCCGUGAUAUUUAGUGAAAAAACUAAAUAUCACACCCUCGUUUAUUAAAUUUGUUUAACACCAUGUUACCGCGAUAAUUAAAAUCCUCCAUUUUAUAAAAAAAAUGGAUUUUAUUUUCUAAGCUAUUUUUGAUACUUCUCUACUAUAAAUUUACUGAUAUGGAAAGUACAGAAUAAGAAAUAAAGGUAUUCUGGUUAGAGCAAAAUAUAUUUUGAUUCCACUUCUCUACUUACAUAAAUUUUCUGCUAUGGAAGGCACAGAAUUAGAAAGUAUAAAGUGAAUAAACUUGUUCAUAAUUAUCAACCUGUCAAAAUUCCAUUUGUUUUCCAGCCAACAAGAACAGAAUGGGAAAAAUAUCAUUCUGAUAAAUUAGGCCUGAAUUUGAUUGUGUCACAAAGUACUCAAAAUCAUUAUUUAUUAAGCUUGGCGGAUCCUGAUGAUAUUGAUCCAAUUAUAAGUGAUGGAAAUUGCUUUUUCAGAUGUCUUAGCAAGGAAAUCAGCAAUGCUGAGCAUUAUCAUGAAAUGAUCAGGACUAUUCUGAUUUCUUUUAUGCUUCAAAAAAAGCACAUCAACUUCUUUAGCGGGUUCAUAGGGGAUAGCACAAUGGAUUACAUUGUGAAGAACAAAAUGGGUUACAAUGGUACAUGGGCAACAGAUAUUGAGAUUUCCUGUGCUGCAACAUUGCUUCAAACUAAUAUCUUUGUUUUUUUAAAUCAUAAAUGGCUUUUAUUUUAUCCAUUAUUUAUUAUUCCCGAUAUAAAUAAAUUUAUUGGUUGUAUCUAUAUAAGAAAUUUAAAUUAUCA